AGAGUUUGAUCCUGGCUCAGGAUGAACGCUGGCGGCGUGCUUAACACAUGCAAGUCGAACGAUGAUGCCCAGCUUGCUGGGUGGAUUAGUGGCGAACGGGUGAGUAACACGUGAGCAACCUGCCCUUGACUCUGGGAUAAGCCUGGGAAACUGGGUCUAAUACCGGAUAGUACUCCUCAUCGCAUGGUGGGGGGUGGAAAGCCUUGUGCGGUCUUGGAUGGGCUCGCGGCCUAUCAGCUUGUUGGUGGGGUGAUGGCCUACCAAGGCGACGACGGGUAGCCGGCCUGAGAGGGUGACCGGCCACACUGGGACUGAGACACGGCCCAGACUCCUACGGGAGGCAGCAGUGGGGAAUAUUGCACAAUGGGCGGAAGCCUGAUGCAGCGACGCCGCGUGGGGGAUGACGGCCUUCGGGUUGUAAACCCCUUUCAGCAGGGAAGAAGCGUGAGUGACGGUACCUGCAGAAGAAGCGCCGGCUAACUACGUGCCAGCCGCCGCGGUAAUAC
rnacentral:rRNA from 1 species